GGAAGGACUGUGGCUCAAUGGCAGAGCACCUGCUUUGAGUGCAGAAGGUCCCGGGUUCAAUCCCCAGCAUUGCCA